CACUUCGGUGGCCUAGUGGUUAGAAUGUCUGCCUCAGAUGCUGGAGGUUCUGGAUUCAAACCCCAGCCGAGUCA